GACACAAUGUUCAAGCGUCACAGCUUGGUGGUGGUGGAUGAGCAUCGACUUGGAUUCUCACCUCCAAAAUUGAAUGGCGGAUGUUGGGAAGCUGCCUUGAGCGUCGUAAGUGCCAGACACUCGCCUUGAUGGCUCUGAACAUCCUGCCCGUAAACCUCAGGAUACCACA
rnacentral:misc_RNA from 1 species